GGUUUUGUUAAAAACGAAGUUGUAAUCAAAAUAAAGUAUUUAUUUGAUAUCAUAAAACGGUACGAUAACAAACUAAACCGUUCUAAUGGUUUGAGUUUCUGAACAACAUUUUUAUUUGCAAAUCACGUUUGUUUUAAAUUAUUAUUUGCUCGUUUCGUCGCAAUACGUGACGUAAAAUAACUAGUAAAAAUUAAAUAGUAGCUAUCCAUGUGAAAGAAAAGUUGUAAAAUUAUAUCGGGAAAAACGUGCAAAAAAAAUCUUAAAUAUGCCCUCUAAAAUCUUCUUGAUCCUUUCUUUUCAAAACCGUUUAUGUUUUCGAAAUAUGGUAAUAUUGUUUUUGCUACCUUUUCCUAUUUUAUUAGAAUAAAAAAAAAUAUUAUCAGGACCAAACAAUAUUUACACAUGACCAGCAUAGUUAUUACAUAUCUAAAAUGAGUCGAUAUAUAAAAUAUACAGUUGUAUGUAACAUCUACAUCAAUUAAUUCUAAGAACCUAAUAUGAUCUCAUCCAAUACAAGCUAGCAGGUCAGAAUGUAAUACAUUCACAACCAUAUUGUAUAGACUAUAGUUGUUAGCCAUAAGUUGUAUCCCACCAAUUUACACCUACAACAAAUCACCAGUAAAAGAUCCAAAACCAUAAAUGCACAAAGUACAACUAGAAGCAUCAUAGCUUCAACAAAGGUUAAAUUUAUAUAUGUAAAUUCCUUCGUAAAUAAAACGAAGAAAAAAAAAUUAAGUUCGUGGCUAUAAGUUUGUAACAAGUUUCUAUAUAAUUACAUUUUCUAAAAAGCAGUUCUGUUAGGUGAAACUUUUAAUAUAAUCAUAGAGACAAGUGGAACCAAACUUAAAUAGCCACGUACGUAUUGUACAAGAUUAUGGUCCUUUGCAAAAUAUAUGUACAUAUAAUAGUAUUAAGAUUUAAUUGCAUUGCGUGGCGGAUCCAGAGUCGGAUUUUACUGGGUUUACACUAAUUUUUUCCAUUUUCUUCGAAUCGAAUGGGUUUCUGUGAACCCAUGGAACCAUACUAAAUCCGCCCCUGUGUUUGUGCUUUUAAAAACUCAGAUACUAAUUUUAGUCAUCGUAUUUCGUCAUCUUAAAUAUACUGAAACAUCAUAUUUAUGGAAUAGCCUUCCUCUAAUUUUCAACUCCAGUCAUCUACCAAAUAAAGUUAACAAAAUUAGGUUCCUUUACUUUAAAUAUUAGUUCAAAUAAAUUAUAGUUUCUAUCAAACGUUUUAGUCUCAAGUAAUUUUAAUAUAUUUCAACUUUUUUAUCAAAAAAAAAAAAAGUGAAAAAAAAGAAAGAAAAGAAACUUUUCAAUUAAUGUGUCAUGAUGCACUAUUUGUUUAGAAAUGUGCAGUGAUGAUAUAUUACACUGCGUCUGUAUUAUUGCAAUAACACUCCGAUGAAUAGUACAUCAAAUUAAAUAUACACAGUGAUUGGGUAAUGGCUACAUCUAUAUCGGUGUCUCAAAAUGCAUCACACUUACGCACUAAUGCCUUUUUAUGUGUAGGUUUAUAAAGGUGUGCAAAGACAUUAUACCAACGCAUGCACAUAGUAAUACAAUAAUUUGUGUUAUUACUUAUUUUACUCAUGCAAAAAUAGAAACACCUCAUGUGCGAACAUAAUAUUCCUAAUAUAUUCAUUGAGGAGUAUAGAAAAUAAUGCAGAUUCUGAAAGACGCUCACAAACCUUCGUGGCUUCGUUAUCAAAUAGUUGAUGUGAGCGCAAUUUUCCCGUAGACAUUUAAUGAAGAAGCUCUACUCCAAUGUUUUAUCAAACACCAAUGGUUGAAGAUGACUAUUGGAUAAGAAACCACAAUCAAGAGUGACAAGUAGAAUACGGCAUUAUGUAGUUGAUUAACAGAUGUCUUGAUUUAUCAUAUGAUGCAUAGUUAUGCAUGAAGGAUGCACAAACGUUUCAUGCUGCUGUAGAAACAAAACUACGCAAGUUUGAUGCGAUGGAAACGAAACAGUAAAAUGUUUGAUGCAAGUUGAUUAGUGGAUUU
rnacentral:lncRNA from 1 species